UUAAGCGACUAAGCGUACACGGUGGAUGCCCUGGCAGUCAGAGGCGAUGAAGGACGUGCUAAUCUGCGAAAAGCGUCGGUAAGGUGAUAUGAACCGUUACAGCCGGCGAUGUCCGAAUGGGGAAACCCAGUGCAAUUCGUUGCACUAUCGUUAACUGAAUACAUAGGUUAACGAGGCGAACCGGGGGAACUGAAACAUCUAAGUACCCCGAGGAAAAGAAAUCAACCGAGAUUCCCCCAGUAGCGGCGAGCGAACGGGGAGCAGCCCGGAGUCUGAAUCAGCUUGUGUGUUAGUGGAAGCGUCUGGAAAGUCGCAGGGUACAGGGUGAUACUCCCGUACACUAAAACACACAGGCUGUGAACUCGAAGAGUAGGGCGGGACACGUGGUAUCCUGUCUGAAUAUGGGGGGACCAUCCUCCAAGGCUAAAUACUCCUGACUGACCGAUAGUGAACCAGUACCGUGAGGGAAAGGCGAAAAGAACCCCGGCGAGGGGAGUGAAAAAGAACCUGAAACCGUGUACGUACAAGCAGUAGGAGCCCACUAGUUGGGUGACUGCGUACCUUUUGUAUAAUGGGUCAGCGACUUAUAUUCUGUAGCAAGGUUAACCGUAUAGGGGAGCCGCAGG
rnacentral:rRNA from 1 species